GUGAGCUUUCAGUGAGAGACUGAACACGAUCCCGCGCGGUUCGGUCUCCGCGACGAUCGAAAUCACACACAUACACAUCAAACACACACACACACACACACACACACACACACACACACACACCUAAACACAUACACGUACAGGGUGUACAUAUUUUUUCCUUCCACUCGUACACACGUAUAUCCGUGUAAGUACGUCGCGCGCGUCUAUCUAUACGCGGUCUAUAUUUUUCUAUGACGAUGAUUAGGUGACUUUUGUAUCCCCAACACGUCCAACACGAGUAUAUAUGUGUGUGUAUCUACAUAUAUACGGGAGACGAGACCGUUACCGUGUGCGUGCGUGCGUGUAUAAAUUCAUGUACGGUGCGGGAUCGGUAGACCCGGCAGACUCCACCAUUACCGAUGGGCAGGACAGAUAUGUCAAAGACGCUCAACGCCUAUAGGAUUAAAAAGAUCGAGAACAUCGGCAGAAUGACAGCGAUGACGCAGGAGGAAAUCGUGGCCGGAGCGCGGACGGUCGCUCAGGGCCUGGAGGCUCUGCGAGUUGAGCACGGCGGUCUGUUACAAGGCCUGCAGUCUCAGGACUCACCAGCCGCCCGAGACAAAGCCAGUUUGCUGUCCAAGAUCAUUGAAAUGAUCGACAUGGGUCUGGGUGAGGCGCAGGUGAUGCAGACACUGGCAAGCCAUCUGCAAAUGGUGGAGGCGGAGAAACAGAAGCUGAGGACACAAGUGAAGAGGCUCUGUCAGGAAAACGCCUGGCUCAGGGACGAACUAGCCAGCACUCAGCAAAAGCUGCAAGCGAGCGAGCAAGCUGUUGCGGGAUUGGAAGAGGAAAAGAGACAUCUAGAUUUCAUGGCCAGUAUGCGACAAUACGAUCCAGAUCCGUCCACGGAGGAUGAAAACGCUAAGGACCGACCGAAGGACGAUCCUGUAGUGGACCUUUUCCCCGACGAUGACGCGGACGAUCGCAAUAGCAAAUCCAUAUCUCCGACUCCGCCAUCGCAGUUCGCGCAGCAAGUGAACGCCGGCUACGAGAUACCAGCACGUCUGCGCACGCUGCACAACCUGGUAAUCCAGUAUGCGAGUCAGGGCCGCUACGAGGUAGCGGUCCCCCUAUGCAAGCAAGCCCUCGAAGAUCUGGAGAAGACUUCCGGUCACGAUCACCCCGACGUGGCGACCAUGCUAAACAUUCUCGCUCUCGUGUAUCGAGAUCAGAACAAGUAUAAAGAGGCCGCGAAUCUCCUGAACGACGCUCUAGCCAUCCGGGAGAAGACGCUGGGUGAGAAUCAUCCGGCGGUGGCGGCGACGCUGAACAAUCUCGCGGUGCUGUACGGGAAACGGGGCAAGUACAAGGAGGCUGAACCCCUGUGCAAGCGGGCGCUGGAGAUUCGCGAGAAGGUGCUUGGCCGCGACCACCCGGACGUGGCGAAACAGCUGAACAACUUAGCGUUACUAUGCCAGAACCAGGGCAAGUACGAGGAGGUCGAGCGCUACUAUCAGCGCGCGCUUGAAAUCUACGAGGCCAAGCUGGGCCCGGACGAUCCGAAUGUCGCGAAAACGAAAAACAAUCUGGCGUCUUGUUACCUGAAACAGGGCAAGUACAAGGAUGCCGAGGUGCUGUACAAACAAGUGCUCACCAGAGCGCACGAGAGGGAAUUUGGUGCCAUCGAUGGCGACAACAAGCCGAUCUGGCAGGUGGCUGAAGAGAGAGAGGAGAACAAGCAUAGGAACAAGGAGAACACACCGUACGGUGAAUAUGGCGGUUGGCACAAAGCCGCGAAAGUCGACUCGCCUACUGUCACCACUACCCUAAAGAAUCUCGGUGCGCUCUACCGAAGACAGGGCAAGUAUGAGGCCGCGGAAACGCUCGAGGAUUGCGCCAUGAGGUCCCGAAGAGAGCACGUGCAGCAAGCUCUGGACCUGGUGAACAAGGCGCGAGUGGCACAACUGCUGGGCGACGAGAAGAGCUCGACCAGACGCGGCUCGCGGUCUAGCCUGGCCAAUAGCGAGCACGAGCAGAGCCACGAAGAGGGUACGAGAUGGCGACGAUGAUGAUGUAUGAUGAUGCUGUAAAGAAUACAUCGGACGACGGAUGGAUUAAUAACAAGGAAUGGAAGUAUGCCUUUCGCGCAAAAUAAAAAAAAAUGUUCAUCGAAGAAACUUGAUGUACUAUAAUCUCUCGAGAACGGACGAUGAUGAUGAUGAUGAUGAUGAUGAUAAGUCGGAAAGGGAAUUCUGCAACACGUUGACCGAUGAUGUUCAUUAUAUCCGGAUCGUCGUUUGCGUACAUAGCACACAUUCCAGUUGCUUCUCUAACGAAAAACUGCACCGUAAGCCGAGUUAACUCCGUUGCUGCUAAUUUCUCACGCGUAGCUGUAUACGGAUGACUUGAACAAAAAAAGUGUCACGAAUUGGCGUUAAUUGCGUAUCGUCGAAUGAGUAUGUUUCGAUGAAUCUCAAAUGAUAUUAAAUAAUCCGAAUCAAAACUCCAAAGAGAUCAUGAUCACUUAUCUCACACACAUUGGUAUGAUUGCGCGUGUACAUGCGUUUUUCCACGAUUUCCUUCGCGACAAUGCAUUGUUCCAAUUGAUGCUAGACCUUAAAUAAAUGACCGUGUUGCUAUCAACAUUGGCUGAGACGCAUCCGUGUCGCUUAAUAUAAACGUAUGCUCUGUAUAUCGUCUGAUUUUAUAUUUCCGUUGUAAUCUUCAACGUUCAUCGCACACAGAUAUUAUUUUUAAUGACAAAUUGCGUUAGCUAGAGGUCUCUUGAGUUUAUCGAGCAAGUGAUUUUUUAACACUUUCGAUUGGAUCGUCUCUUUUCGUUUCACGUAUGUCUUCGAUAUUCUCUGUAUUUACGCGCCUGAGAGCUUGAAGGCCUAGAUCCUCUUUUCAUUAUAUUUCGUGGAUGUUAAUUGUCAACAGGUAUCACGGUAUCUCAGAUUCUGCGAUUUUUAAACUUCGUACCAUAAAAAUGUUGCCGUGAUAAACAGCAAUAAUAGAAUUAAAUUGGUCCUAACAGAAAAAAAUUAUUCUUUUUACAAUGUUUUAGACAUUAGACUGUGUUAUGUAACGGUAUCAGAGAUUUUGAAUGAUAUCCACUGAGAAUUGAAUAUUUAUACUUCUUGCAAAUCACUUUUCCAAAUUAUUCGAAAUUUGUAAAAUCAUUUUCCGACAGCGAUAAAUCAUUAACUGAGAAAAGAUUACUUGAAGUAAUAAGGAAGCUCGAAGCGCAUCUUAUUUAUCUAACGUAUUUCAUGUUUUUGUUAUUUGUUGAAUAUUUUGCGGUUACAUUUUGUAUAUCGUGCGUCGAGAAGCAUAUAAAUACAUAUACAUACAUACAGAUAUGUAACACGAUUAUUUACACGACUACACUGUGUGUUAUCAUCUACACCAAACGAAGAAUUUUCCUAAAAUAAUGACGCUUUUAUAUUCGAUGCAAGUGAUGUAAGAGAAUAAUACUAUCACAAAUAAUGUUCGAGAAGUAUAAUAUUAUCAAUUCACAUACAAUAUACAUAGGUACCAUUUUACCAUGUAUGCAAUGCAUAAUAAUAGCGGAGCUUUUGACAUGUACUGUAGCUCUCAGGUGCAAAUAUUGUUAUUUAAUCACAUACAUAUAUGUGUAUAAGCUUUGAUUUAUAAUAAAUAUUUCCACUUGUAUAUCUCUCUUGUUAUUUUGAUCUUUUAAUCUCACCAGAAUAAUUAUAAUAUUUAUGUACAAUUGAUUUUAUAUGAUCGAGAGUGUGUUUUAGUAUUUUAAGAUUUUGUUAUUCUCUUAUAAGUAAAAUAAAAUAUUAAGUAAAUUCAGAUUAAAAUAUUAUAUGGUUGUUUUCUCGCAUUAAGUGUAAAAAAAAA
rnacentral:misc_RNA from 1 species